UGGGGAAUAUUGGACAAUGGGCGCAAGCCUGAUCCAGCCAUACCGCGUGGGUGAAGAAGGCCUUCGGGUUGUAAAGCCCUUUUGUUGGGAAAGAAAAGCAGCUGGUUAAUACCCGGUUGUUCUGACGGUACCCAAAGAAUAAGCACCGGCUAACUUCGUGCCAGCAGCCGCGGUAAUACGAAGGGUGCAAGCGUUACCCGGAAUUACUGGGCGUAAAGCGUGCGUAGGUGGUUGUUUAAGUCUGUACUGAAAGCCCUGGGCUCAACCUGGGAAUUGCGAUGGAAACUGGGAGACUAGAGUGUGGCAGAGGAUAGUGGAAUUCCUGGUGUAGCAGUGAAAUGCGUAGAGAUCAGGAGGAACAUCCGUGGCGAAGGCGACUGUCUGGGCCAACACUGACACUGAGGCACGAAAGCGUGGGGAGCAAACAGG
rnacentral:rRNA from 1 species